rnacentral:rRNA from 1 species
GACGAACGCUGGCGGCGUGCCUAAUACAUGCAAGUCGAACGCUUCUUUCCUCCCGAGUGCUUGCACUCAAUUGGAAAGAGGAGUGGCGGACGGGUGAGUAACACGUGGGUAACCUACCCAUCAGAGGGGGAUAACACUUGGAAACAGGUGCUAAUACCGCAUAACAGUUUAUGCCGCAUGGCAUAAGAGUGAAAGGCGCUUUCGGGUGUCGCUGAUGGAUGGACCCGCGGGGCAUUAGCUAGUUGGUGAGGUAACGGCUCACCAAGGCAACGAUGCAUAGCCGACCUGAGAGGGUGAUCGGCCACACUGGGACUGAGACACGGCCCAGACUCCUACGGGAGGCAGCAGUAGGGAAUCUUCGGCAAUGGACGAAAGUCUGACCGAGCAACGCCGCGUGAGUGAAGAAGGUGUUCGGAUCGUAAAACUCUGUUGUUAGAGAAGAACAAGGACGUUAGUAACUGAACGUCUCCUGACGGUACCUAAACAGAAAGCCACGGCUAACUACGUG